rnacentral:rRNA from 1 species
GUCCCAGUUCAGAUCGCAGUCUGCAACCCGACUGCGUGAAGUCGGAAUCGCUAGUAAUCGCGGAUCAGCAUGCCGCGGUGAAUACGUUCCCGGGCCUUGUACACACCGCCCGUCACACCAUGAGAGUCGGGAACACCCGAAGUCCGUAGCCUAACCGCAAGGGGGGCGCGGCCGAAGGUGGGUUCGAUAAUUGGGGUGAAGUCGUAACAAGGUAAC